UGCCAGCCGCCGCGGUAAUACGAAGGGUGCUAGCGUUGUUCGGAAUUACUGGGCUUAAAGGGUUCGUAGGCGGCCACUUAAGUCAGGGGUGAAAUCCCACGGCCCAACCGUGGAACGGCCUCUGAUACUGAGUGGCUUGAGUGUGCUAGGGGUAAGUGGAACGUGUAGUGUAGCGGUGAAAUGCGUAGAUAUUACACGGAAGGCCGGAGGCGAAGGCGGCUUACUGGGGCACAACUGACGCUGAGGAACGAAAGCGUGGGGAGCAAACAGGAUUAGAUA
rnacentral:rRNA from 1 species